rnacentral:sRNA from 1 species
UAUAUAGACCAUUGUUUGAAAUAUUCAGCUGCAUUAUCAUUUUCCAGUAUUUGGGGACUGAUUUCGUACCUCUCUCAAAAAUUGGUGGACAGUCCAGUCUCCUAUUCUGUUAGUCUGUUUUUUUUCUUGUUUCUGUUAUUUUAAUGAUGUUUCUUUAGUUAUACUUGAUGAUGAGACAGUACAUGACAAUAUUUUGUUGAUUUUUGUUUUUCAUAAACAAUGAAACAUUUAUACCUUAAGUAAUCAAAAGCAGUGGUUUAUUUUCUUUUGUAAUAAAUUUUUUUGGUCAAAUUUUGUUUUUUGACUUUAACUUUGAGUUUUUAUACUCAUUGAGGGAAUCUCACUUUGUCCUGUUCAAGUUCAAUUGUUUUGUUGUUCAUUAAACGUGUAUCUUCAUAUUUCUCUCGCAUCUAUUUAAAAGAUGCCAUUGUAUGACAUGAUAUUAGUUAUGAAUUGAAAAGAAAUACCAUUCCUAUAUUCAGAUUUGUUGUCAAUACAAAGAUGUUUACUCACACCACAUGUACCUAAACAUGUUUUUUGACUGAUGUGUAGAAAUAUGGAGACAAUGUUUUUUUAUAAAAUCGAUAUUAAGUGCUGUAUUUACUUUAAAAAAAUUGUUAAAAUUUUACAUUCUUUUAAUUAAGUUUGAUAUUAGUCAAAAAGAGAGGGGGAAGGUUAAGUUUUGAUCUUGUUGCUAUAAUUGUAUACAGAAGCCAGUGUCUUUUAACAAAUAGGAAUAUUAAUAUUGGAGUUUUUGCAUUCCAUACCUAAUCUUGAAUUUACCAUUCCAAUAGGGGCCUACAAAGGAAGUUAUAAUAUUAAGGUACUUGUUGAAGUCUAAGGGAACUCUAUGUACUAUUAACAGGAAAUCAUGUUUUCAUUCACUUACUAGUACUUAUUAGUCAUUAUUAAUCACGGGUCUGAGCUUUGUCCAAUAUGUAAACAUUCAUGUUUUGACAAUUUAUACCUACUUGAAUGUAAACCUGUUAAAAGAAUGAUAUUAAACUUUCUCUUCUCUUC